rnacentral:rRNA from 1 species
GACGAACGCUGGCGGCGUGCUUAACACAUGCAAGUCGAACGAAAAGAGGGAAAGAGCUUGCUCUUUCCGGAAUUGAGUGGCAAACGGGUGAGUAACACGUAAACAACCUGCCUUCAGGAUGGGGACAACAGACGGAAACGACUGCUAAUACCGAAUAAGUUCCAAGGGCCGCAUGGCCCAUGGAAGAAAAGGUGGCCUCUACCUGUAAGCUAUCGCCUGAAGAGGGGUUUGCGUCUGAUUAGCUGGUUGGAGGGGUAACGGCCCACCAAGGCGACGAUCAGUAGCCGGUCUGAGAGGAUGAACGGCCACACUGGAACUGAGACACGGUCCAGACUCCUACGGGAGGCAGCAGUGGGGAAUCUUCCGCAAUGGGCGAAAGCCUGACGGAGCAACGCCGCGUGAGUGAUGACGGCCUUCGGGUUGUAAAACUCUGUGAUCCGGGACGAAAAGGCAGAGUGCGAAGAACAAACUGCAUGGACGGUACCGGAAAAGCAAGCCACGGCGAACUACGG